rnacentral:rRNA from 1 species
CACGUAGGGUGCGAGCGUUGUCCGGAAUUAUUGGGCGUAAAGGGCUCGUAGGCGGUCUGUCACGUCGGGAGUGAAAACUCAGGGCUUAACCCUGAGCCUGCUUCCGAUACGGGCAGACUAGAGGUAUGCAGGGGAGAACGGAAUUCCUGGUGUAGCGGUGAAAUGCGCAGAUAUCAGGAGGAACACCGGUGGCGAAGGCGGUUCUCUGGGCAUUACCUGACGCUGAGGAGCGAAAGCGUGGGGAGCGAACAGG